rnacentral:rRNA from 1 species
CAGCAGCCACGGGAAUACGUAGGUGGCAAGCGUUGUCCGGAAUUAUUGGGCGUAAAGCGCGCGCAGGCGGAUAGGUCAGUCUGUCUUAAAAGUUCGGGGCUUAACCCCGUGAUGGGAUGGAAACUGCCAAUCUAGAGUAUCGGAGAGGAAAGUGGAAUUCCUAGUGUAGCGGUGAAAUGCGUAGAUAUUAGGAAGAACACCAGUGGCGAAGGCGACUUUCUGGACGAAAACUGACGCUGAGGCGCGAAAGCCAGGGGAGCGAACGGGAUUAGAUACCCCUGUAGUCCCUGUCUCUUAUACA